CUAAACUCUUCCUAGGUCACCUGUCCUGGUUUCCACUGCCUGUGCAUUUGCUUCUUCCCCUUAAUUCUGACCAGCAAGUUCCUACUCAGCCAUGCUGGUCUCUUGCCCUCCUCAUCCGAUUUCUUGCUCCUGGGGAUUGCCAGCUCUUGUGCUCUAUGGAAGAGUUCCUUAAAGAUCUGCCAGAUCUCUUCUAUUCCCUCGUCCCUGAGGGCAGCCUGUCAGGGGAUCCCCCUGACUGGGUUCCCAGAGGACUGAAAUUCUGCUUUCCUAAAGUUCAAGAGCCAGACUUCUACUCCUUACCCAACCCCUAUCCCUCAGCCCUGCACACCUCACCAAUGAAUGACCCCUGCAGCCCAGGCUGCCUCCAGUCUUGGUGUCCCAGUUAGCUCACCUGCACUGGUGACCAACAGAUCCUGUAACACGUUCCCUCAGCAGGGCUGUCUGUCACCUAGGUCAGGAUAUUAUCCUCCACACACUCCAGGGGUCUCCUGGAUUGCCUACAGCCCUCCAAGCUACUUUCCCAACAGCUGCUGGGGUGGUUGAGCUGCCCCUGCAGGACAAGAUCCUGCGGGCUCAAUGCCUCCUGUGGCUGGAGCAGGAAGGUUUGGUCAGUGGGCUCCCCUUGGUCAGGCAGCUGUAGCAGACCCCAGCCACAGCGUUCCCUUUGCUGCCUCAGUCUCUGACUCAUAGCCACAGGCUUUCCACCUGCUCUUUCCCUGCAUUCUGCAGGAACAGCUCUUCAUAUUGCCUAUUUUUUGGCUUGUAGUAUCAUUUGUACCCAUGUGAGAAAGUAAUAGCAGGUUGUGGUCCAUGCUUUGGCUAGUUGGGCUACUCUCUUGGCAGCAUCAUGGAUCUUAGUCCCCGGUAGGCAGCAUUAUCCCUUGGGCCAGGAUGAUAUAUGAUUUGAAAAUUCAUGCUGCCUUCCUGAAAUAGUAAUUUAGAGAUAAAGUUUAUUUAAGGAUAGAUAUUUAAUAGCCCUAUAUUUCUGCGUGUAUUAAAACUCAGCUCUUGAGGAAUCUAAACAAAAGCAUGUGUGCCUCUCUUAUCAGCAGUGGAAGUUGCACUUGGUCAUAAUUUAAACAGUAGUAGUAGCAGUUAACAAUGUUUUCUUGGGUUGGCUCUUUAUCACUUGUACCCACUUCCUCCAUUCUUUUAAUCAUUUGUAGAGGCAUAUAUAAAGGUUGAUGCCUAGUCUAAAUUGUAAUCUAAAAUUCACUUUGGAGUGAUUUGCUUGUACCAGGUAGCAGCAGCUCCUACCUCAGUGGACAGGCUACUCAGUCAGGAGCUGCACAUUGGGAACCACUUGGCUUGAGCAAGUAUCCAGGCCUGGGCACACUUGUAACAUUCCUACAUGCACAGCUUGGGACACGGGAGCAAGGCUAAAACAUGGUACUGCAAGACUGCUGAGGUGGGUUUGGAUAAGAUGAUUACCAAUUGUAUCAAUGUCUAGUUUAAGGAGUGAGAGGUGAGGUUUAUUUACUUAAAUUAGCAGGGUUUUAAAUGCAACAGAACAUUCAGAAACACAGGGAAAACAGUAACAACUACCAACCCACAUACAUUACCAUAAAGAGAAAUAGGGGUAUAAUUUUAUUAAUUUUAAUCAUGCCAAAGGUAUUGAACCUCAAAAAGACUAAAAAAUCAUUGUGAUCUACUACAAGCUGUAAGACUAGUGCUGGCAACUCUGAAUUGAAGAAUUACUCAGCAAGAGCAAGGAUAAACAGGUAAGAAAGUUUCUGCAUAGUGAAAGGUUGAUAGUUUACCUUUGCUUUGCUGCCUGGUUGUUUCUACAGAAACACACAUAUUCUCCUUAGUGAAGAGUAAGGGGUUUCUUUAUUUUUUAAUUUUUAACAACUAAACUUUCAUAGUCAGUUACUCCAAAGUAAACCAUUUUGAAAGAAUAGGGUGCAAGGAGGAAUUGUUCUGCUACUGUUAAUGGCAGAAUAUAAACAUAGGCUUGAUGCAUGACAGUAAAAAUACCAUAGUAUUUCUGCUUAUUUUCCUUUGACAUUUUAUGAUGUUGUAUAAAAGGAUAAUAUAUUUUUUGCCUUCAUACUCUGCUUUAAUUCUAAUAAUUAAUUUCUAAAGAAAAAUAGCAGAAAUAAAAAUGGGUCGGGAGCUAGAGACAAAAUAAUGGACGAUAUAAAUAGAAUAGUAUGUGAAAGGAUAGUGGAAAUAAUGGAAGUGUUUUUAGAACAGAGAUAUGAUACAGUAUAAGAAAUAAUUAAUUACACUGAAAAUAUAAAUUGAGCUUUCCUGAUGAUCUUUUCUACUAACUCAGGAACCAGGUGACAUUUUGCAACAUUUCCAAAGCAAUAAAUUUAAAACUCAAGGAAGGCAUUUACUUUUAUUUACCCUGUUUUUUAAACACAACAUAUACUUAAGUUCUGGUCAUCUACUGUCACAAGGUAGUAUGAUGUUUACUAAAAGUGGAACAAAACUGCAUGUAUACAUCAGCAAAGAAAUAUACAGAUAUAUAUUAGAUAGGAUACAAAAAUCCAAGGUCCCAAAGUCCCUUCAUCUGAGCCUUUGGGUUAAUUGCUGAUAUUUGGUGAUAGGGUGAAAUCCUUUUGCACACUUCGCUUUUCGAUGGCCAAUUGCCAUAAGUAGUAUUAAUUUUUUUUUUUUUCUAAUUUUCAAUUACUGAACUGCCUAGUUUUGCAUACAAUAUCUUACAUGCUUGAAGGAAUUUUAACUUAGCACUUGAAUACCCUAACAUGGAUUCUGGUAAGCAGUAUAUAGGUAAGGUAAAUCGUCCCAAGACCUCGUCUGACUUUCUGUGUGUGCUCUGAAAGAAGUAUAUGAGGAUUGGACUCUGUUCCCUUCUUUUUCUAAUGGUUUAUUGUUCUCCCCUUCCACACUUUUCUGUUGGUUUUAACAUGAAGUUGACACUUCUUUAAUAUGUUAUAUUAAAUGUUUUGUGGUGCAGGAACCGUGCUUUGCUAUGUUUACACACGUGGUUUGAUUGGUGAUAGAAGCCUUUGUGCAUGACCCUUUGUGAUAAAAGCAAUAAUUCUGCUGUUGUCAUCUUAGCUGGUAUAGUUGUGCUUUCAUAUAGCACAACACACAAUCCAGUGAACCUGUUUGGAAGAGAAAGAGAUUGUGAAUGCUGCUGCAUUUCCAGUCCCAGAGGUAACUGGUUUUGCUUCAAAAGGUACAAGGUAAACUACUCUUCAAUGGCUGGUAACUCUCGAGCCCUUGCUGAGACUGUAGUGCCACAAAUUCUGAUCCACUUAAAUUGCGUACAUCGUGUUGCAUAUACAUUUAUAAUGCCACAGAGGCAAGAUUCAUGUUUCCCAGACAGGCUGUGGAAGUGUUCAUGGACAGAUUGGAUGGGGCCCUGAGCAGCCUGGUCUAGUGAGUGACAUCCCUGCCAAUAGCAGGAACUAGAUGGUCUUUAAGGUCCUUUCCAACACAAAACAUUUUAUGAUUUUAUGGUCUUUACAAGUAGUAUUAUUCUAAACUCCUUUUUUCCAUCAUACAUGUGUAGGAGAGAGGGCAAAAGUGAGUUAUGCUGGCUUCCACCACUACUUUUCCAGUCCUCUCCAGAUCUUGGCUUGCUCCCAUCCUGCUCCUGGUUACUUGACUCCUCCUUUUCCCACCUUUCAAGUCAUGGCUUUCAGAGAAGAGGGAAGAUGAUUCUGCCCUUAGCACCAUCUCAUGGAGCAUAUGUGUUGUAAAUUGCCAUCCACACCUUCAUACACGCCUCUCAACUUAGACCUAUUUUCUACUUGAAGGGAAGGAUUUAGACUAAGCCUUGCGAAACCAGUAGACAAGUAACACUUCAUGCUCAGAAAAGAGCAAGAGCUGUUGGCACACUUUGGUCUUGAACACCUUCCCAUCCUGUGAAAACACUGGUGGACUCUGGACAUAUGGUGGGAGGUGGUGAAAGGCCUUCUCUUGUAGCAGGCAUGACUGGCAGGCGUUCAGCUGCCAGGCACAGGAAAUGCUAGGAGAUGAGGGAGCGCCCUGCUGCUGCCAGCCACCCUGCAGAGCUUCAGCCAUGUCUUGGACCAUGGGACACCCACCAGCUUGGGCUCACAGCAGCACCCUAAGCCCAGCAUCUGGAACACAGCAGGCAAGGGAGGUGCAGGGAAGGCAGGACCCUUUGGAGAAGGAGAAUCAGCUCUUCUCCUUCUGUAACACAUCUGCUGGGGGGAGUUCUAGGCUGAGAAGCCUAUGGCUAUCUGAGGCCUCCCUGUUGAGACAGCUGCCACUCUUGGAGAUCCUGACAGACCCCAGCAGCAGGUCCACAAGGGGAUCUGGCUCUGUCCUGGUCACUGCAGACCCUCUGAUCUCCUAAAAGGUGCUUAGGAAAUUGCUUGUAUAUAACAGGGCAACUUGCUGCAGUGGGGCACUUCCCUCCUUUGCAGAUGGUGUUUAACAUGUGGAAUUAUCUGAUCCUGUAGUAUCUGAUUCUCAUUAUCUCCUAUAAUUAAAAUUAUAAAUUAAUUUUAUAAAAUUUAUAAAAUUUAAUUUUAAUUUAAAAAUUAAAAAUUAUCUCCUAUAACUUUCAUUUUGGUUUUACCCAAUUUUGUGUAUUUGUGGGAGGACUUUUAGGUACCUAAUUGCUCUCUGCAUGCCCCAGCAGUGCACAGCAUGCCAGCACUUACUGAGAGCAGUAUGAAAAGUGAAUGGUAUGACUCUGAAACAUCACUUGUGAAGAAGGUAGAAGAGAAGAAAGAGACACCAGUUCAGUUAUUUCUUUAGAUUUUUCUUCAAUACUGUCAAAAAACCAGAUACCACUUGGUACCUACCAGUAAUUCCUCCCUCAGCUGUCUUUCUAUAUGUUUGCAGAUGUGUCCCCUAAAGUAGAACAGCAGGAUCAUUUGGGCUUAAAAACUGCAUAACCUUUUCUGUGAGUGUUUUGGUGGGAUUUGGGGUUGAUUUUGGUGAUCCAAUAAAUUCACUGAUAGAGUUUGGAGUGCAGCCCUACAGACAUUUGGAUUUGACACAGCUGAAAAGGAGUACACAGUGGGAAGGCAAAGUGUACUCCCAUUCUUUUCCUCUUGCCCUUACUUUGUGUGUGUCAGCACUAUGCUAGAACUGCACCAAAGAGGUUACUUUUAUCAGAAAACAAAAUAGGCAUCUCUUUGAUAUUGAGUCCAAAAGUAAUUGUUCUGCUUCAUAUGGAUCUAUGGGCCUCUGCCAGUGCCUGGGCCUGGGCAAAGUUAGUUGGUGGCUCAGCUUUGUGUAAUUGAAAGUCAUUUUGAUUUCUGCACUGUGGUGUAAUUGCUUGAAAAAACAUGUUAUUUGAUGAUUAAGAUUCUGGAGUGAAUUGUGUUCUUUUGGGUUCUUGCACUGUUUCUCCAUCAGGGACUUGGUUUCAGUGGUGUGCAGCUGCUGGAGUUGAUUUACAGUGCUGCGGCUGUGGCUAGUCAUAAAUAAAUCCUCUUAUAUAGUUGUUAUGAACACCUGUUAGAUCAUCUGUCAGCAAAGCGCUGUUCACAUUUAUCAUGGUGCGGUAGUUAUUUUACCUCAAUCCAUUUCCAACUGACUCGGCCUCCAUCACUGGAUUACUAUUACCACACCAUAAUCGCUCGUUUCCACUCCAUGUUACAACUUGCAGAUAAAAGAUUUCACUACUUGGCCAAAUUUCAUAAAUAAAGGAGCAGUUCAGUGCAGUAAAAGUUUAUUUUUGUCAUCAUUUGUCACCCCAUUAUUCUAUAAAUCAAAUGGAAUAGCGCUAUUGCUAGCUCAGGCGUUGCUGUCAGCCCUAGGCAUGGAAAUGGUCCGUUUCUUCUUUUUAGAUGAGAUGACAUGUCUUUCAGACUUAACUGGCUUAUGGCUUUGUUUCACCCAUUUUAUUUUAUCGGCCCUUCAGAAAAAUCCUUGGGGACCAGAGAGACUAAAGAAGUGAAAUGGAAUCAGAAAACACAGUAAAACAUGCUGCUUUAGCUGUGUUACGUACAUUUCCCUCCCCCGCAAUCAUUCAUUUACAAACUCCUCUGCAAAAAUAAUGGCUCUGGAUAUAAACAGCCCCUCAAUGCAUUCUCCAGCUUUACUCAGACUUUAUCGUUCAUGUCAAACCCUGGGUACGAAAGGGCUCCAGAGAGGGUGCUGCAAAGUCUUGCUAAUGUUUCUGCUCCUAAAUGGACUUUCAGACUGCUCAGGGAUUGAAUUGUGGAGUUGUGCUUUUGUUUCAAGGGUCUGUGCUGAUGACUUGCAUUUUGGGGCCUGAACCACCUAAUAAUGCUGUGCUAUGCCUUGCUACACAGCUUCACAACCAAAACCAUCAGGGUUCAAGAUCUUCCUCCAUGCCUUCCCAGAUUAGUUUUUCAUUCAGAAGCUCUGAUACCUGCCUUUGUGAGGAGGCAAUUGGAGUUUCAGGGUGGCUGUGGCCCCACUUUGGAUUCUGAGCUCUGCACAUCAAUUCUCAACGCCAGCUGAGCUGCUCAUGUGAAAAUGGCCAAACCUUCUUAUUGCAGUGGGACUUGGAUGGCUGUGGAAAGAACUUGCUGACAAAGGGCCAUGCUGCACUAUGGAAAUAAAAUUACUUCAGUGUUCA